rnacentral:misc_RNA from 1 species
GUGCAUGAGUGGUGUUUGGUUUGAUACGGGUGGUUGGCUCCCUGCUUGAGCAGGCACGGCCACGCGUGCAUUCCUUUUCAGUUGUCCGGCAAGGCUUGUAUCGUCUUGAUCGUAUAAGUGGGUUUCUUGUGUUGCAUACCUGAUCAAUGGCAUCGUUUUGAUCAAAAGUGUAUCUAUUUCGUCUGGCAAUGCACCCGCAUUGUCGGAUGAACUGGGCAGCAUCCUCUUUGAUCCAUAAAGUUGACGUGCAUUCGUUGAUUGUUUGGCCCGUUGAGGAUGGCUUGGUCUCUUGGAUAUGGAAGCCAAAGUGGGCAUGGGUUCGUAAGAUCCCUUUACUGCCCUCAUUGAGCGUUCUCGCUUCUCUUACACGACUGCCUUUCACGUAUGGCACGUCCCAGCGUGUUUGGCUAYGUCGAAGAGGAAUGCUACCUGGUUGAU